GAGAACGCUGGCGGCGUGCUUAACACAUGCAAGUCGAACGGAGUUACGUAUGAAGUAUUUCGGUACGGACUACAUAACUUAGUGGCGAACGGGUGAGUUACACGUGGGCAACCUGCCCUUAACCGGGGGAUAACAUUGUGAAAACAGUGCUAAUACCGCAUAACAGAGUAUCGGGCAUCCGAUAUUUUUAAAAGGAGCAAUCCGGUUUAGGAUGGGCCCGCGUCCAAUUAGCUAGUUGGUGAGGUAACGGCUCACCAAGGCUACGAUUGGUAGCCGAACUGAGAGGUUGAUCGGCCACAUUGGGACUGAGACACGGCCCAGACUCCUACGGGAGGCAGCAGUGGGGAAUAUUGGGCAAUGGGCGAAAGCCUGACCCAGCGACGCCGCGUGAAGGAUGAAGGUCUUCGGAUUGUAAACUUCUUUGAUCAGGGAAGAAAGAAAUGACGGUACCUGAAGAACAAGCCACGGCUAACUACGUG
rnacentral:rRNA from 1 species